rnacentral:pre_miRNA from 1 species
UUGUUAAAUUACUAUUAAUAUGAAUUAAAGCUUAAAUUUGGGUGGUAAUUGCAUAGGGG